rnacentral:rRNA from 1 species
AACGACUCUCGGCAACGGAUAUCUCGGCUCUCGCAUCGAUGAAGAACGUAGCGAAAUGCGAUACUUGGUGUGAAUUGCAGAAUCCCGUGAACCAUCGAGUUUUUGAACGCAAGUUGCGCCCGAAGCCACUAGGUUGAGGGCACGUCUGCCUGGGCGUCACGCA